AGGACGAACGCUGGCGGCGUGCUUAACACAUGCAAGUCGAACGAACCACAGACCUUCGGGUCUGUGGUGAGUGGCGAACGGGUGAGUAACACGUGGGCAACCUGCCCUUGACGACUGGAAUAACAGCUGGAAACAGCUGCUAAUACCGGAUACGACCUUCGAUGGCACCAGUCUGGAGGUGGAAAGCUCCGGCGGUCAAGGAUGGGCUCGCGGCCUAUCAGCGUUGUUGGUGAGGUAACGGCUCACCAAGGCUUCGACGGGUA
rnacentral:rRNA from 1 species